rnacentral:rRNA from 1 species
UACGGGGGGGGCAAGCGUUGUUCGGAAUUACUGGGCGUAAAGGGUGCGUAGGCGGUCCGCUAAGUUAGAUGUGAAAACUCUGGGCUCAACCCAGAGCCUGCAUCUAAUACUGACGGGCUAGAGUUCUGGAGGGGGUAGCGGAAUUCCUGGUGUAGCGGUGAAAUGCGUAGAUAUUGGGAAGAACACCUGAGGCGAAGGCGGGUUGCUGGGCUGACACUGACGCUGAGGCGCGAAAGCCAGGGGAGCGAACGGG